GCUGCGGCGGGGGCGAAAUAGGAUCGACAAGGGUGUAAAGAUCGCUCUUUUGCUCGGCAUGAUACCACCGUUAUCGGGUCAAUUGAGUAGUUGCAAAUGACAACAAAGCUCAGGGUUACGCUCUCGCUGCCUAAUGGCGGUGCGGGAAACCCACUCUAAAGCCCUUAGGGUUAGCACCUUAAGGCGGGGUUCGGAGGCACCUGGCAACAGAAGCCUCCACU
rnacentral:tmRNA from 1 species